GUGGGGAAUAUUGGACAAUGGGCGCAAGCCUGAUCCAGCCAUGCCGCGUGAGUGAUGAAGGCCUUAGGGUUGUAAAGCUCUUUUGUCCGGGAAGAUAAUGACUGUACCGGAAGAAUAAGCCCCGGCUAACUUCGUGCCAGCAGCCGCGGUAAUACGAAGGGGGCUAGCGUUGCUCGGAAUCACUGGGCGUAAAGGGCGCGUAGGCGGACUCUUAAGUCGGGGGUGAAAGCCCAGGGUUCAACCCUGGAAUAGCCUUCGAUACUGAGAGUCUUGAGUUCGGAAGAGGUUGGUGGAAUUGCGAGUGUAGAGGUGAAAUUCGUAGAUAUUCGCAAGAACACCAGUGGCGAAGGCGGCCAACUGGUCCGAUACUGACGCUGAGGCGCGAAAGCGUGGGGAGCAAACAGGAUUAGAAACCCUGGUAGUCC
rnacentral:rRNA from 1 species